UUUUUUUAAGUGGUAUCAAAAAUUGAGUGGGGUCAAUUGACCCCACAUUUUUAACGUGGCUUCGCCUCUGAAUACUAGGACAAGAAUUCCAAAGCUAUGUUUCUGAGUUUCGGAGGAAGAGAAAGUUAAUUAAAUUAGGACCCAAAAAGAAAAUAUAAAACAUUUUUAUGUGUGUUGUUUGUGAGUUAUAAAUGAAAAAGUCAUGUUAU
rnacentral:lncRNA from 1 species